GAGAUUUCCCAAUUCGUAAGACCCCUGGAAGAACACCAGGUUGAUAGGCUCGGGGUGGAAGCACGGUAACGUGUGGAGCUGACGAGUACUAAUCGGUCGAGGGCUUAUCCUAA
rnacentral:rRNA from 1 species